rnacentral:tRNA from 1 species
UCCUCAAUAGUUCAGUUGGUAGAACGCUUGGCUGUUAACCAAGAAGUCGUUGGUUCAAGUCCAACUUGAGGAG